GGUCCGGUAGUUCAGUUGGUUAGAAUGCCAGCCUGUCACGCUGGAGGUCGACGGUUCGAGCCCGUUCCGGAUCGCCA
rnacentral:tRNA from 11 species